GGUCUGGCUCAGUUGGUAGAGCAUAUGGUGUUUGCAACGCCAGGGUUGUGGAUUCGAUUCCCACGGGGGACCA
rnacentral:tRNA from 1 species